UACGGGGGGGGCAAGCGUUGUUCGGAAUUACUGGGCGUAAAGGGCUCGUAGGUGGCCAACUAAGUCAGACGUGAAAUCCCCCGGCUUAACCGGGGAACUGCGUCUGAUACUGGAUGGCUUGAAUCCGGGAGAGGGAUGCGGAAUUCCAGGUGUAGCGGUGAAAUGCGUAGAUAUCUGGAGGAACACCGGUGGCGAAGGCGGCAUCCUGGACCGGCAUUGACGCUGAGGAGCGAAAGCCAGGGGAGCAAACGGG
rnacentral:rRNA from 1 species